CCCAUACGCUCUUACCAGCUGCCACAGACACCUUCCAUUUGCACUGAUGCUGCAGAAAAAUACCAAGAAGGCGCAGAGGAAAGCUCGAGCAGCGCGUUGUUGGAACUUGAUGCACCACUGGCCGAAGAGAGUGAACCAGUAGAGUGCGAUGAUUUCCUUCCUCCAGAAGCUCUGGCUGCGAGUCCAGGUGAUUGCACUCCAAUAUCAGAAGAGAUAAGUGCCGAGGCUGAGGAGCUGUCUAAAGAAAUUGGAAUUCAGGUCGACACUAGAAACAACCUAUUUGCAAGAGAACAGCUUAUCACAAUUGCAAAAGUGCCCGA